rnacentral:rRNA from 1 species
GACGAACGUUAGCGGCAGGCCUAACACAUGCAAGUCGAGCGGAGCGGCGGACGGGUGUGUACUUCCUAGGAAUCUGCCUGGUAGUGGGGGAUAACGUCCGGAAACGGGCGCUAAUACCGCAUACUAUCAGACGAGCCUAGGUCGGAUUAGCUAGUUGGUGGGGUAAAGGCCUACCAAGGCGACGAUCCGUAACUGGUCUGAGAGGAUGAUCAGUCACACUGGAACUGAGACACGGUCCAGACUCCUACGGGAGGCAGCAGUGGGGAAUAUUGCACAAUGGGCGCAAGCCUGAUGCAGCCAUGCCGCGUGUGUGGAGAAGGCCUUCGGGUUGUAAAGCACUUUCAGCGGGGAGGCGUUACCCGCAGAAGAAGCACCGGCUAACUCCGUGCCAGCCGCCGCGGUAAUAC